GGUGGAGAAGGACCAGGACGGGGGUCGGAAGUUGACUCCGCAGGGGCAGCGGGACCUGGAUCGCAUCGCAGGGCAGGUCGCCGCCGCCAGCAAGAAGCACUGAGGGAGCCAAUAAACCCUGAACCCCCCUGA